rnacentral:rRNA from 1 species
CCUUGCCAGCCCGCUCAGAAACUUAAAGGAAUUGACCGGGGCCCGCACAAGCGGUGGAGCAUGUGGUUUAAUUCGAUGAUACGCGAGGAACCUUACCUGGGCUCAAAUGUAUGUUGACGUAUUCUGAAAGGGAUACUUCUUCGGACAAUAUACAAGGUGCUGCAUGGUUGUCGUCAGCUCGUGCCGUGAGGUGUCGGGUUAAGUCCCAUAACGAGCGCAACCCCUAUCAUUAGUUGCCAUCAGGUCAAGCUGGGGACUCUAAUGAAACUGCCUACGCAAGUAGUGAGGAAGGUGGGGAUGACGUCAAAUCAGCACGGCCCUUACGUCCAGGGCUACACACGUGCUACAAUGGCCGGCACAACGGGAAGCGAGUUCGCGAGGACGAGCGGAUCCCUCAAAGCCGGUCGCAGUUCGGAUUGAAGUCUGCAACUCGACUUCAUGAAGCUGGAAUCGCUAGUAAUCGUGGAUCAGCCAAGCCGCGGUGAAUACGUUCCCGGGCCUU